GCCCCCGUAGCUCAAUUGGAUAGAGCAUUUGCUUGCGGAGCAAAAGGUUAGAGGUUCAAAUCCUCUCGGGGGUG
rnacentral:tRNA from 1 species